GGCAAGAGACAAAUUUGUCUUUUUGAGAUUACAUGCUUCUUUAUAUCUCCAUAUGAAUUGCCUUGCUAUGGAAUGUAAGGAAGUGUGUGGUUUCAAGGAGAAGAACCUCCACCUAACAAU
rnacentral:pre_miRNA from 11 species